CAACACAACACAACACAACACAACACAAUCUUCAUCACCACACAAACCAACAAGAACAACAAUGACUUUCAGCAUCAUCUUCAUCUGGACACUCACAGUGUUUGCUCAAGAGUGUAGAGGACAGUACACUGUUACUCAGAGUCCAUCAAUAACAGCAGUUCAACCAGGACAACAUGUUCAAAUAAACUGUAAAGUCAGCAGUGCAGUAUACACAGAUAGUUCGGGUCCCCGAAUGAGCUGGUACUUACAGAAACCUGGAGAAGCUCCUAAACUCCUCAUAUAUCUCGCAUCAAACCGCCAGUCUGGAGUAUCAUCUAGAUUCAGUGGCAGUGGAUCAAACACAGAUUUUACUCUGAGCAUCAGUGGAGUUCAGACUGAAGAUGCAGGAGAUUAUUACUGUCAGAGUGUACACUGUCCUAGUAGCUGUGUGUUGACACAGUGA